rnacentral:rRNA from 1 species
CCUACGGGAGGCAGCAGUGGGGAAUAUUGCACAAUGGGGGAAACCCUGAUGCAGCGACGCCGCGUGAGUGAAGAAGUAUUCCGGUAUGUAAAGCUCUAUCAGCAGGGAAGAAAAUGACGGUACCUGAUCAAGAAGCCCCGUCUAACUACGUGCCAGCAGCCGCGGUAAUACGUAGGGGGCAAGCGUUAUCCGGAUUUACUGGGCGUAAAGGGGGCGUAGACGGCAGCACAAGUCUGUAGUGAAAUGCCGGGGCUUAACCCCGGAACUGCUUUGGAAACUGUGCAGCUAGAGUGCAGGAGAGGUAAGUGGAAUUCGUAGUGUAGCGGUGAAAUGCGUAGAUAUUAGGAGGAACACCAGUGGCGAAGGCAGCUUACUGGACUGUAACUGACGUUGAGGCUCGAAAGCGUGGGUAGCAAACAGGAUUAGAUACCCCAGUAGUC